rnacentral:rRNA from 1 species
AUUGAACGCUGGCGGCAGGCUUAACACAUGCAAGUCGAGCGGGGUGAUGGUGCUUGCACUAUCACUUAGCGGCGGACGGGUGAGUAAUGCUUAGGAAUCUGCCUAUUAGUGGGGGACAACAUUUCGAAAGGAAUGCUAAUACCGCAUACGUCCUACGGGAGAAAGCAGGGGAUCUUCGGACCUUGCGCUAAUAGAUGAGCCUAAGUCGGAUUAGCUAGUUGGUGGGGUAAAGGCCUACCAAGGCGACGAUCUGUAGCGGGUCUGGGAGGAUGAUCGCCCACACUGGGACUGAGACACGGCCCAGACUCCUACGGGAGGCAGCAGUGGGGAAUAUUGGACAAUGGGCGGAAGCCUGAUCCAGCCAUGCCGCGUGUGUGAAGAAGGCCUUAUGGUUGUAAAGCACUUUAAGCGAGGAGGAGGCUACUUUAGUCAAUACCUAGAGAUAGUGGACGUUACUCGCAGAAUAAGCACCGGCUAACUCUGUGCCAGCCGCCGCAGUAACAC